CACGUAGGGCGCGAGCGUUGUCCGGAAUUAUUGGGCGUAAAGAGCUCGUAGGCGGCCUGUUGCGUCCGCUGUGAAAGCCCGGGGCUUAACCCCGGGUCGGCAGUGGAUACGGGCAGGCUAGAGGUAGGUAGGGGAGAAUGGAAUUCCCGGUGUAGCGGUGAAAUGCGCAGAUAUCGGGAGGAACACCGGUGGCGAAGGCGGUUCUCUGGGCCUUACCUGAUGCUGAGGAGCGAAAGCGUGGGGAGCGAACAGG
rnacentral:rRNA from 1 species